ensembl:lincRNA E130006D01Rik RIKEN cDNA E130006D01 gene
AGCCACCGGGCUCUGGGCUGCGGAGGAGGUUGGAGGUGACCUUCCAGAAGGAACGUGGGACAAGGGAGCAAGUGAGGACCUGGUGGGUAGUGGUUACUCUGUGAGAAGCCAGCAGCACCAACCAAAUAGAAGGUGGAGAAGUGGCCCCCAGCUUCCCAGUUUGGGUUUGGGCCAAGACAACUAAGAAAAGGGUCCACCGUCUUCACUCCAGGUCAGAUGACCCUGCAUUGUAUCAAGUAGAAAAAUGUCUAACCAAGACAGAGGAGAAUACGAACCCUCUCAGCUCAUAGAUGCAAGAAGAGAGAGGGGUUUGCUGGAAAUCGUGGCUGACCACCUCAGAAGGACCCAGAAGACCCGAACUUUCUGGUUUUGCCUUUCACCUUGCUCUGAAACUUCUCCCAACACUGGAAGACAAGAAAGUUCCGCCCUACCUCCGCCCCACCUCCGCCCCCCGGACCAGGGAGAUUCUUCUCUUUGGGCAAGCAGGCUUGCUGGGCAAUCGUGAGCUGC